rnacentral:tRNA from 1 species
UCUUCGCUAGUAUAUCGGUUAGUAUAACCGCCUCUCAUACGAGAGAGUCAAGGUCCUCUGGACGACGACGCAUCGCGGUAGAGCAGGGUUCAACUCCCUGGCGGAGAA